AGUGAACGCUGGCGGUAUGCCUAACACAUGCAAGUCGAACGGCAGCACAUUAAGAUCUUGCUCUUACGGGUGGCGAGUGGCGGACGGGUGAGGCAUACAUCGUAAGCUACUUUUUCGUGGGGGAUAACGGAGGGAGACUUACGCUAAUACCUCAUAACACCUACGAGUAGAAGCAGGGGAUAUUCGUACAUUUCGAGCACGAAUGAGCCGAUGUCGGAUUAGUUAGUUGGGGGGGUAAAGGCCCACCAAGGCGACGAUCCGUAGCUGGUCUGCGGGGAGGACGGCCCACAUGGGAAUGGGACAAGGGCCAAGAUUCUUACGGGAGGCACAAGAGGGAAAUAUUGGACAAUGGGCGAAAGCCUGAUCCAGACAUACCGCGUGGGUGAAGAAGGCCUUCGGGUUGUAAAGCCCGUUUGUUGGGAAAGAAAAGCAGCAGGUUAAUACCCCGCUGUUCUGACGGUACCCAAAGAAUAAGCACCGGCUAACUUCGUG
rnacentral:rRNA from 1 species